rnacentral:rRNA from 1 species
UGGUGAACACGGAGCUUGCAUCUGUGGGAUCAGUGGCGAACGGGUGAGUAACACGUGAGCAACCUGCCCCUGACUCUGGGAUAAGCGCUGGAAACGGCGUCUAAUACUGGAUACGAGUAGCGACCGCAUGGUCAGUUACUGGAAAGAUUUAUUGGUUGGGGAUGGGCUCGCGGCCUAUCAGCUUGUUGGUGAGGUAAUGGCUCACCAAGGCGUCGACGGGUAGCCGGCCUGAGAGGGUGACCGGCCACACUGGGACUGAGACACGGCCCAGACUCCUACGGGAGGCAGCAGUGGGGAAUAUUGCACAAUGGGCGCAAGCCUGAUGCAGCAACGCCGCGUGAGGGAUGACGGCCUUCGGGUUGUAAACCUCUUUUAGCAGGGAAGAAGCGAAAGUGACGGUACCUGCAGAAAAAGCGCCGGCUAACUACGUGCCAGCAGCCGCGGUAAUACGUAGGGCGCAAGCGUUAUCCGGAAUUAUUGGGCGUAAAGAGCUCGUAGGCGGUUUGUCGCGUCUGCUGUGAAAUCCGGAGGCUCAACCUCCGGCCUGCAGUGGGUACGGGCAGACUAGAGUGCGGUAGGGGAGAUUGGAAUUCCUGGUGUAGCGGUGGAAUGCGCAGAUAUCAGGAGGAACACCGAUGGCGAAGGCAGAUCUCUGGGCCGUAACUGACGCUGAGGAGCGAAAGGGUGGGGAGCAAACAGGCUUAGAUACCCUGGUAGUCCACCCCGUAAACGUUGGGAACUAGUUGUGGGGUCCAUUCCACGGAUUCCGUGACGCAGCUAACGCAUUAAGUUCCCCGCCUGGGGAGUACGGCCGCAAGGCUAAAACUCAAAGGAAUUGACGGGGACCCGCACAAGCGGCGGAGCAUGCGGAUUAAUUCGAUGCAACGCGAAGAACCUUACCAAGGCUUGACAUAUACGAGAACGGGCCAGAAAUGGUCAACUCUUUGGACACUCGUAAACAGGUGGUGCAUGGUUGUCGUCAGCUCGUGUCGUGAGAUGU